UUUCCGUAGGUGAACCUGCGGAAGGAUCAUUAAAUAAUUUAGAUGGCCUCCUAGAACUUGUUCUAGUUAGGUUCAUUCUUUUUUUACUGUGAACUGUUUUAAUUUUCAGCGUUUGAGGAAUGUCUUUUAGUCAUAGGGAUAGACUAUUAGAAUGUUAACCGAGCUGAAGUCAGGUUUAGACCUGGUAUCCUAUUAAUUAUUUACCAAAAGAAUUCAGUAUUAUUAUUGUAACAUAAGCGUAAAAAACUUAUAAAACAACUUUUAACAACGGAUCUCUUGGUUCUC
rnacentral:misc_RNA from 1 species